rnacentral:lncRNA from 1 species
CUGAGCAGAUGGUCAGGCAGUGAGGUGGCCUUUGCACCAAAGAGAUGAUCCAGGAGCAAGAAACAGAGGUGCAGCAUCUCCUUCCAGGACUGUGCUGCUUAAACCAGCAAGGAAAGCAACAGCAGCUGAAGGAAUUUUCAGAAAAUCACUGAACUUUGGCAGAUACUGAACUUGUCAAAGAACAUAACACAUCAGAAGACACAUUUUCAGUCUGCUAUUAAUAUUGAGAGCCAAAUGAAGACCACGAAUACACACCUACUCUCAACAAGAGCUUCACAGAAGUUUUCAGGACCAUGUGUAAGUACCUCCCCUCUUUUAUUAUUUUUAAAUGUUUGGAAAUGUAUAUUAUCCAAAGAUUUGCACCAAAGCUUAACUAUGUUCACAAUUAAGGCAUUUGCCAGUGAUACAAUGACAGAAGUGGGGAGGAAGAGUUCCUGACCCCACUUUCAAUUUGCCCUAUUAUUUAUUUUAUGGCUCACAAUGUACAUCAAUAUACACACUGUUUAUUGAAUUACUUGUAGUAAUGGAACUAUAGUUUCAUUCUUCAGUUGCUAUAGUUACAUUUCUAUCCAACUUUGCAUUCAAAAUCUAGAAAGAAAUCCUAGGAAGGGUACUUUAUUUUUUUUUCAAAGAAGUCUGACUAGUCUUAAUCAAAACUUUAAAAGAACAUUUCGCUUAAGCUGAUAUGGGCAAGCAACUUUUAUAAAAAUAUACUGUAUAGAAACACAGGUGGAAAAUUGCAUAGAAAAUAUCCUUUGAUUUAAAUUAAGGCACGAUUUUACUAGCUAUGGUUUGGCUAUAAAAAUGUGACUCUAUUUUGAUUACUUUUAUGUUAUUAACAGUAUUUUCCAUAAAAAUAUAGGUGCAGGAAUAAAAAACCCUUUUACACAGAGUGGGAAACACUCCAUUGUAAAAUUUCACCAAAUUUACUGAAAUUCAGCUGUCAAAAAUUCAAAUGCUAUU